GGCAGACGGGUGAGUAACAUGUAGGUAUCUUCCCAUUGGUGAGGAAUAACACGAGGAAACUUGUGCUAAUACCUCAUAAGUCUUUACGGAGAAAGCUUUAUGCGCCGAUGGAUGAGCCUGCACUUGAUUAGUUUGUUGGUAGGGUAAUGGCCUACCAAGACAAUGAUCAAUAGCUGAUUUGAGAGGAUGAUCAGCCACAUUGGGACUGAGACACGGCCCAAACUCCUACGGGAGGCAGCAGUAGGGAAUCUUGCACAAUGGGGGAAACCCUGAUGCAGCGAUGCCGCGUGAGUGAAGAAGGCCUUUGGGUUGUAAAGCUCUUUCGUCGGGGAAGAAAAUGACUGUACCCGAAUAAGAAGGUCCGGCUAACUUCGUGCCAGCAGCCGCGGUAAUACGAAGGGACCUAGCGUAGUUCGGAAUUACUGGGCUUAAAGAGUUCGUAGGUGGUUAAAAAAGUUGGUGGUGAAAUCCCAGAGCUUAACUCUGGAACUGCCAUCAAAACUUUUUAGCUAGAGUAUGAUAGAGGAAAGCAGAAUUUCUAGUGUAGAGGUGAAAUUCGUAGAUAUUAGAAAGAAUACCGAUUGCGAAGGCAGCUUUCUGGAUCAUUACUGACACUGAGGAACGAAAGCAUGGGUAGCGAAGAGGAUUAGAUACCCUCGUAGUCCAUGCCGUAAACGAUGUGUGUUAGACGUUGGAAAUUUAUUUUCUGUGUCGCAGCGAAAGCAAUAAACACACCGCCUGGGGAGUACGACCGCAAGGUUAAAACUCAAAUGAAUUGACGGGGACCCGCACAAGUAGUGGAGCAUGUGGUUUAAUUCGAAGAUACGCGCAGAACCUUACCAACACUUGACAUGUUCGUCGCGACUUUAAGAGAUUAAAGUUUUCGGUUCGGCCGGACGAAACACAGGUGCUGCAUGGCUGUCGUCAGCUCGUGUCGUGAGAUGUUGAGUUAAGUCCCGCAACGAGCGCAACCCUCACUUUUAGUUGCCAUCAUUUAGUUGGGCACUCUGAAAGAACUGCCAGUGAUAAGCUGGAGGAAGGUGGGGAUGACGUCAAGUCCUCAUGGCCCUUACGUGUUGGGCUACACACGUGCUACAAUGGCAUUUACAAUAGGAAGCAAGACGGCGACGUUAAGCAAAUCCUAAAAAAAUGCCUCAGUUCGGAUUGUACUCUGCAACUCGAGUACAUGAAGCUGGAAUUACUAGUAAUCGCGGAUCAGCGCGCCGCGGUGAAUACGUUCCCGGGUCUUGUACACACCGCCCGUCACACCAUGGGAGUUGGUUCUACCUUAA
rnacentral:rRNA from 1 species